AUUGAACGCUAGCGGCAUGCUUUACACAUGCAAGUCGAACGAGUGGCGGACGGGUGAGUAAUGUAUCGGAACGUGCUCAGUAGAGGGGGAUAACUACUCGAAAGAGUGGCUAAUACCGCAAACCAUUGGUGUGGCAGAUAUCGGCUUAGCGAGUGGGUGGGGUAAAGGCUCACCAAGGCAACGAUCCCUAGCCGGUUUGAGAGGAUGACCAGCCACACUGGGACUGAGACACGGCCCAGACUCCUACGGGAGGCAGCAGUGGGGAAAUGUGGACAAUGGGGGAAACCCUGAUGCAGCCAUCCCGCGUGUAUGAGAAGGCCUUCGGGUUGUAAAGUACUUUUGGCAGGGAAGCGGUAUCUGCAGAAUAAGCACCGGCUAACUACGUGCCAGCAGCCGCGGUAAUUC
rnacentral:rRNA from 1 species